GACGAACCGUGCAAACGUUGUUCGGAAUCACUGGGCUUAAAGGGCGCGUAGGCGGCUUAUCAAGUCGGGGGUGAAAUACUUCAGCUUAACUGGAGAAGUGCCUUCGAUACUGGUGGGCUUGAGGGAGGUAGGGGUCUGUGGAACUUCUGGUGGAGCGGUGAAAUGCGUUGAUAUCAGAAGGAACGCCGGUGGCGAAAGCGACGGACUGGACCUCUUCUGACGCUGAGGCGCGAAAGCUAGGAGCAAACGGG
rnacentral:rRNA from 1 species